UACGUAGGGGGCAAGCGUUGUCCGGAUUUAUUGGGCGUAAAGAGCGUGUAGGCGGCUUGGUAGGUCCGCUGUGAAAACUCGAGGCUCAACCUCGAGAUGUCGGCGGAAACCGCUUGGCUAGAGUCCGGAAGAGGAGAGUGGAAUUCCCGGUGUAGCGGUGAAAUGCGCAGAUAUCGGGAAGAACACCUAUGGCGAAGGCAGCUCUCUGGGACGGUACUGACGCUGAGACGCGAAAGCGUGGGGAGCGAACAGG
rnacentral:rRNA from 1 species